rnacentral:rRNA from 1 species
CAGUCGAGCGAAUGACGAGAAGCUUGCUUCUCUGAUUUAGCGGCGGACGGGUGAGUAACACGUGGGCAACCUGCCCUACAGAUCGGGAUAACUCAGGGAAACCUGGGCUAAUACCGGAUAAUCCUUCGAAUCACAUGUUUUGAAGUUGAAAGGCGCUUCGGCGUCACUGUAGGAUGGGCCCGCGGUGCAUUAGCUAGUUGGUGGGGUAACGGCCUACCAAGGCAACGAUGCAUAGCCGACCUGAGAGGGUGAUCGGCCACAUUGGGACUGAGACACGGCCCAAACUCCUACGGGAGGCAGCAGUAGGGAAUCUUCCACAAUGGACGAAAGUCUGAUGGAGCAACGCCGCGUGAGUGAUGAAGGUUUUCGGAUCGUAAAACUCUGUUGUAAGGGAAGAACAAGUACGUUAGGAAAUGAACGUACCUUGACGGUACCUUAUUAGAAAGCCACGGCUAACUACGUGCCAGCAGCCGCGGUAAUACGUAGGUGGCAAGCGUUGUCCGGAUUUAUUGGGCGUAAAGCGCGCGCAGGUGGUUUCUUAAGUCUGAUGUGAAAGCCCACGGCUCAACCGUGGAGGGUCAUUGGAAACUGGGGAACUUGAGUGCAGAAGAGGAUAGUGGAAUUCCAAGUGUAGCGGUGAAAUGCGUAGAGAUUUGGAGGAACACCAGUGGCGAAGGCGACUGUCUGGUCUGUAACU